GUGUUGUAUGAAAGGAGAGAAGGUUAGCACUCUUCUUGAUAAGGAUGGAAGAGGUCCUAGUGGCCUUUACAAUACAUAUACAGAGAAAUCCAUUACUCUGAAGCUCAUGUGGUUAUAGGUUUUU